GGAUUGGCUUCAGAGCACUAAGAUAGUGAAAGAUUAGAAAAAAAAAACAAAUAAUAUUGUGGCUGAUUCUGUGAGGCAGGCUUUGUUCUCCUCUAGGAUGAAGUUCAUUUCAGAAAGCAUGCGAGGUUGUCAGCUAAGGAAGGCAAGAGAAGGAUGGCAAUGAAAGAGGAACCGCUGACUGUUUAGGUGGUGGUCACCAGUUUGCUAUCGUUGGAAGACCUCUUCCUGGAGAGCCACUUCAUGGACUCCCCAGUGCUCCUCAGCCUGCAGGAAGCUGUCCUGGACAGUAUUACAGAUGGCUGCUGUGAAGAAUCUGCCCCACCCCUUGUCACAGCUCAGGGAGUCUGCAUGACAAAAGAAUAAUUGAAUUGGUAAUGCAACAGUACAAGACAUAGAUCACCAUUUUGCAAGAGGAAUGUUUAAGUCAUGAAUAAUAAAGUGAUUUCCUCCAGAGUAAUUUAUGGCACAGGUAUAUUAGCAAAGCAAGUUCCUGCGGGUGUCAAUGCACCAUGCUACAGACUCAAGAGAAUUCAGCAAGGUCUCCCAGCUCAUCUAAAUGCCUUUCUUUGUGACUUCCACUUAAGUGUUGUGUUCUCUGCCCUCAGUGGCUCUGGGUCUUACCAUGUGACUGACAAGUUCCCUAAGAUAUCAGCCAUUGUGGAGCAAUCAAUGGCACGGAAAACACAUCCGCAUUGGAGCAUGGCCUCUAUUGUUGGAUAAGAUAAGAGCACUCUGUCACCUGAGCUUCAAGCGAUUUGAGAUAAACUCUGAGAGACACCCCAUAGAAGGAAGCCGGAAGAGUCCCAGCCCCCUGCUUCCACCCUUGCAUCUGGCUCUGCUUGGUCAGCAAAGCUUUGAUGAUGGAGUUCUUCAGCCUGUUCCUAAGUAUGAGAUUUUCUUUCUUAUUGUUUAAGAAAACAGAGUUUAGAUUUUUUUUUUUACUAUAAACUGACAAAUUGUAUUUGUACACAUUUGUGAGGAACAAAUUUAGGAAUAUGAUGCAGAAUAAUUCAACCAACUUAAUGAACACGUCUGUCAUAUUGAAUAUUAAUCAUUUUUGUGACAAGAACAUUUGUAAUUUACUUUUAACAAUCUUGAAAAACACUGUACAUUACCAUUUACUAAAGUUUGCAUUUGUUUGUCAUCCUCUAUGCUCAUUUUGGAUGGCUUCUGAUUGUAUUUUCUAAAUGCUUUAACAUUUUUUGAAAAAAAAAGAAAAUAAAUUCUAAAUGAAUUGAGGAAAAAUACA
rnacentral:lncRNA from 1 species